rnacentral:rRNA from 1 species
UGAGGAAUAUUCGUCAAUGGGGGCAACCCUGAACGAGCAACGCCGCGUGGAGGAUGAAGGUUCUUGGAUUGUAAACUCCUUUUCUGUGGGAAGAGCAAGGACGGAACCACACGAAUAAGUAACGGCUAACUACGUGCCAGCAGCCGCGGUAAUACGUAGGUGGCAAGCGAUUAUCCGGCAAUUACUGGGGGUAAAGCGCACGCUCGUGGUUACUUAAGUCUGAUGUGAAAGCUCCUGGCUUAACUGGCACAGGUCGUUGGAAACUGUGUAACUUGAGGUGAUGAGAGGGGUGUGGAAUUCCCGGUGUAGUGGUGGAAUGCGUACAUAUCAGGGGGGAACGACAGUGGCCAAAGCAGGACCCUGGCAUUGACCUGACGCUCACGUACGAAAGCGUGCGUAGCGAACGGAAUUAAAUACCCCGGCAGUCCACGCUGUACACGAUCAAUACUAAGUGUGGGUGAUAUCAAAUUAUCUGUGCGGAAUCUAACGCGAUAAGUAUUCCGCCUGGCGACUACGGACGCCAGGCUC